rnacentral:lncRNA from 1 species
AUAGGUACAAGGAUAAGCUGGACACAAAAAAAAAAAAAAAAAAAAAUUACAACACACAUGCAUAUAUACAUAUAUAUAUAUAUAUAUAUGUGUGUGUACACGUGAGCAAACUGUUUUAAACACAAGUUUAUGUAACAAUCUGCUUACCUUUUGCAGACACACUGUUGAUAUAAUACUAAAAGUUGUCAUGCCAUAUUUCCAAGUUAUAGAUAUAAACGAUUUUAAAACACCCACAUCUAUUACUGGAACAUGACAUCUAUAGAUAAAAUUAACGCCUGUUUAAAAGAUCACCUUUCAAAAACAGAGCUAGACUACAAAAAAGAGCAAAGUGUAGAGAAUUUACAAAACUUAUUUAAUCGAUUUAAUUAUAUAGAAUUUAACAUUGGAAAUAAUAUAUUAAAUGAACAAACAUAUGUUAAUUUACUUUUGUAUAACCCAUUAGAUAUAUCAUUAAACAUACAAAUAAAUACUAUCAAGUAUUACAUUUUCCCUAUUUUACCACCAUAUAUCAAAAAUGAAGAAGAAAAGAUGGCCCAGUUUUUAUACGUAGACAAUACAUUCCGUCAUUAUAUGAGGUGUUUAGAUAGUUUUGAUAUUUAUCCUAAAAAAUUCGAAAUAAAAAAAAGACAGCCAAAACAAUCACUUUAAUAUAUAAGCAUAAAUAUGUUGGCUUUCAUAAUAUGCCAUUAAUAGUUGAAGUAGAAAAUGGGAAAAUAGUUCCUUUGAAUGUUUGCUCCUUAACGCUUUAUCCCAACAUGCCUCCCAUUAAUUGGAUGAAUACUAAGAAUUUUAAUCAACAUAUUUUGACUUUAAAAAACGAGUGUAUCAUAAAUGUAGAUCUGCUAAAUGAUAGUGAAUUAGACAUAUUUUAUGAAAUGCAACAUAACGAAAAUUUUACUAUUUUAAACCCUAAAGGAAUAAUUAAAAGAAGGAAGUAUAUUUCUCUUUUUAUUUUAAUUUCUAGAUUGUCACCAUCAAUAAUGAAAGAAAACUUAAUAUUAAAUUCUUAUUUUAAACAUUUGCAAAAAGAUAUAGUAAUAUAUAUAUAUAUAUAUAUAUAUACAUUAUACUUAUGUUUACAUACAUGCAUAAUAUUACAUUAAUUUAUAUAUUUUUUUUUAUCCAUACCAAUGUGUAUAUAUAUAAGUACAUAUACUUAUACAUAUUAACCAUAAUAUAAUUAUUAUUAUUUUUUUUUUUUUUUUUUUUUAUAGAUGCUUAAUAAAAUACAACUAGAAGUAAAUAUCA